UUCUAUGGUGAGGAGCUGAAGCUGAUGGUGAAGAUAGAGAUUGUUUUAUUCUCUUAAGUUUGCAUUUCCUCCUGUACCGUGGUCUAAUCAUCAGUCAGCAAAGCUGUACUGAAAAGCAGAAGUCCCCAGAGGAGCUGUUUCCCACAGCUAUGAUGAAGAAGAGCCGGAGUGUGAUGACGGUAACUGCAGAUGAUAAUGUUAAAGACUAUUUUGAAUGCAGCUUGAGUAAAUCCUAUAGUUCCUCCAGUUACACCCUUGGAAUUGACCUCUGGAGGGGCAGAAGGUGCUGUUCAGGAAACUUACAGCUGCCACCGUUGUCCCAGAGACAGAGUGAAAGGGCAAGGACCCCCGAGGGAGAUGGCAUUUCCAGGCCAACCACUCUACCUUUGACAACGCUUCCCAGCAUUGCUAUAACAACUGUGAGCCA